CAAUCCCGCGUAGCCACCCAAACCGGACUAGGACCAGGCUAGGUCCAGGUCCCCGCUCGGCCAGACUGUCCGAGCAGAAGCGGGACACGGCUGUUAAACCAAAGUGAAAGCGUUUAUUUUGCUGGCCAAGUAAAGGAGCGUGCCGGGACUCCAGGCGCCAAGGCGACUCCCCGAAACUCCCCGCGAGGAGGCCAGCUUUUACGAGGGCAUCAUAGGAAGCAGGACCAAGAACCUGUACAUAACUCAUGACUUUUGCUGAUUUUUCAUUGUGGGGCAGGGCUGGGAACUGGCACUGAAGCGACCGUCGGACCCUUAGCCUCUUGCAGAUGACAGUCACCUCGAAAGAAAGGCCUGGCAAUCUUGAAAAUCAGCCGCUGAAAACCCUAUGGAGCACGCUUCUACUCAGACACACAUGGGGUCGUCAUGAGUUGGAGUCGACCCGACAGCAACUGGUUAACUCCUGGUGGCUCCAGACGUCCCUUGGCUUGUGGCUCCAUCACUCCAUCUCUGCUCCACCUUCACAUGGCCGCCUUCCCUCUGGGUCUGUGUGUCCACCUCUUUGUGUCUCUGUUUGCUCUUUUUAUAAGGACACCUUACUCCAGCAUGACCUCAUGUUGUUGAUAGGUGCCGCAGAGUCUGCUCCUAGUGACCUUAUGUUUAACAGAACCAAACACUGCCCAGUCGUGCACCAUCCUCACGCUAGUAGAUACGUUUGAGCCCAUUCUUGCAGCCACUGUGUCAAUCCGUCUCAUUGAAAGUCUUAUUUUCACUGACCCUCUACUUCACCAAGCAUGAUGUCCUUCUUCAACAAGUGGUCGCUCCUGAUAACAUGUCCAAGUAAGCGAGACAAAGUUAUCUUAACUCAUUAUAUCCACAAAGACCCUAUUUCCAAAGACAGUCACACUCUGAGGUUCCAGGGAUUAGGACUUCACAAUAUCUUUUAUUUGGAGACCCAAUUUAACCCGCUACAAGUGUCUUCUACAUCUGAAGCCCAGCGUUGGCACAUGCGAUGCCCAGGAUACAGUCCCUGCCCUCGGGUAGCUUACAGUUUUAGCCAGGCAAGAACAUAAAAAAGCUAAACUGCAACUUAUGUGACAGCAUGUGUUCCUUCAGAAACUGUUUACUGAGUGCCCCUACUGUGUUUCAUGGAUUGCAAGAUGCGUGCCCCACACCCCCGCCACACACACACAGUUUGACACCUCCUGAGAUGCAUUUUGCUGUCACUGGAAAUUCAUAGUUGAAUCAUCAGAGCUUUCUCUUUCUUGGUGGUACAUAAAAUAAUGGUGCAUUUUACAAUCGACGGUGAGACAAUAAAUUUCUGUUGUUGAAGAUGUUGUCUUAGAUGCGGUGAAAUACAGUAGGAGUGAAGUACCAUUCAAAGUUCUGGGGAUGCUGCUGUGAUGGAAAGAGACAAAACUGGCAGUGGGUAAUAUCAUCAGGCCCUCGCUCAGUAUUUGCUCCUUCCU